GUUACAAAUGGAUUGUUAGAAAAGCAACUUAAAGUUUUAAGUAAACGUAGUUUCAUUGAAACACGAUCAUCUUUCAUAAAUGCAAAAUUCAUGUUUCCAAAAAUGUUCAUCACAUUAAUAUUUUGUUCAUUCUCGUUAUAGUCAAUAAUGAGGUUUUGGAGAAUGGACAUUUAAUGUGCAUCAUCCUAAUAUAUACCCUCUCUAGGAAGAGAUUUCUUGACUCUCUGCACCUUUUACGCGCGUGCAUUAAUAAACAAUUCAGAGAUAACCAGCUUCAUUUUAUACCUUAACACGAAAAUAAUUAUCACUUCAACGAUGAAAAGAUUAAACAAGGAAUAUUGUGACGAAGGUGAAAAUUUCGAAUAACUCAAAUAAAGGAAAAUAUGAGGAAGUUGGAUUAUUAUCGGGAUUUUGGCAUAUAUAUAUAUGUAAAGACUUACACCGAUUCUAAACGCAUCAUAAAUCCUAUUCACGUACACCAUGCAGCUACUAAGCGUAUUUAUUCUUUUCGUUUACCUUACAAUGGUGUCGUCGAGAACGUAUUCCUUGGGACGACCCAACGACCUCAUCAUUAAUGAGAAGCGGCGAUAAAAUAUUAAACAACGUAUUGGGUUUGGAAAUGACUAACUUCGAAUUCAACAAAAGUGUUAAACUCGCCGUUUUAAAAUUAUUAGCCGCUGAAAUUGACGUUUUAACGAACAAUGUUCAAAACAGCAACGUUUUUGAUUUAAUGAAUUCGCUUGUCUUUAAACUCCUCAUGAAUAUAUUGGGACCAUUAUCA